rnacentral:rRNA from 1 species
GAUGAACGCUGGCGGCAUGCCUUACACAUGCAAGUCGAACGGCAGCACGGGAGUAAUCCUGGUGGCGAGUGGCGAACGGGUGAGUAAUAUAUCGGAACGUGCCCAGUCGUGGGGGAUAACGCAGCGAAAGCUGUGCUAAUACCGCAUACGAUCUAAGGAUGAAAGCGGGGGAUCGCAAGACCUCGCGCGAUUGGAGCGGCCGAUAUCAGAUUAGCUAGUUGGUGGGGUAAUGGCCCACCAAGGCGACGAUCUGUAGCUGGUCUGAGAGGACGACCAGCCACACUGGAACUGAGACACGGUCCAGACUCCUACGGGAGGCAGCAGUGGGGAAUUUUGGACAAUGGGCGCAAGCCUGAUCCAGCAAUGCCGCGUGCAGGAUGAAGGCCUUCGGGUUGUAAACUGCUUUUGUACGGAACGAAACGGCCCUUUCUAAUACAGGGGGCUAAUGACGGUACCGUAAGAAUAAGCACCGGCUAACUACGUGCCAGCCGCCGCAGUAA